AUGGCCCAGGUGAGACGCCCGGUCCCAUUCCGAACCCGGAAGCUAAGGCCUGGCACGGCGAUGGUACUGCACCCGACAGGGUGUGGGAGAGUAGCACGCCGCCGCAU
rnacentral:rRNA from 1 species